rnacentral:rRNA from 1 species
UGGGGAAUAUUGGACAAUGGGCGAAAGCCUGAUCCAGCCAUGCCGCGUGUGUGAAGAAGGUCUUCGGAUUGUAAAGCACUUUAAGCGAGGAGGAGGGUACUGGUAUUAAUACUACCAGGUACUGGACGUUACUCGCAGAAUAAGCACCGGCUAACUCUGUGCCAGCAGCCGCGGUAAUACAGAGGGUGCGAGCGUUAAUCGGAUUUACUGGGCGUAAAGCGUGCGUAGGCGGCUAAUUGAGUCGGAUGUGAAAUCCCCGAGCUUAACUUGGGAAUUGCAUUCGAUACUGGUUAGCUAGAGUGUGGGAGAGGAUGGUAGAAUUCCAGGUGUAGCGGUGAAAUGCGUAGAGAUCUGGGGGAAUACCGAUGGCGAAGGCAGCCAUCUGGCCUAACACUGACGCUGAGGUACGAAAGCAUGGGGAGCAAACAGG